CAAUUGUGUUCUUGUAUCUCUUCCAUGUCGUGAGAGAGGGAGGGAGGGAGGGAGAGGGAGGGAGAAAGUGGGGAGAGGGAGAGAAAGAGAGAGAGAGAGAGAGAGAGAGAGAGAGACACAGAGAGACAGAGAGAGCGAGAGAGAGAGCGAGAGAGAGAGCGAGAGAGAGAGACAGAGAGAGCGAGAGAGAGAGACAGAGAGAGCGAGAGAGAGAGCGAGAGAGCGAGAGAGCGAGAGAGCGAGAGAGAGAGCGAGAGAGAGAGAGAGCGAGAGAGCGAGAGAGCGAGAGAGAGAGAGAGAGAGAGAGCGAGAGAGAGAGAGAGAGAGACAGAGAGAGACCCUCAUUCGUGUAUAUUUGUAAUAGACAAAGCUCAGCUUAGAGUUCAGAACAAGGACGUGCCUGCACGACGGAGAGAACAAUGGCAACAAAAACAAGAGCAAAGAUGGUGGUGAGGUGCCCGGGUGGACCCUGCCUCUGCUGUGGGAGCCUCCAGCUGUGCUCCGGGGAAAAAAGGGGGACACGCGUAUUGGAGGCUUUUCACCAAGGAGCACAGAGAGAAAGGGAGGGAGAGAGAGAGAGACCCACCUUCCUCCUCCUCCUGCUGCUUGUCGUCCCCUCUUCCUCACCCCGAGAAAGGGGCCCGAGGUGA
rnacentral:lncRNA from 1 species